UCCUACGGGGGGCAGCAGUAGGAAAUUUUCGUCAAUGGGCGCAAGCCUGAACGAGCAAUGCCGCGUGAACGAGGAAGGUCUUCGGAUCGUAAAGUUCUGUUGAAGGGGAAAAAGAGCGGAGAGAGGAAAUGGUCUCCGAUUGAUAUUACCCUUCGAGGAAGUCACGGCUAACUACGUGCCAGCAGCCGCGGUAAUACGUAGGUGGCGAGCGUUAUCCGGAAUGAUUGGGCGUAAAGGGUGCGUAGGCGGCCUGCUAAGUCUGGAGUGAAAGGUACCGGCUCAACCGGUACAGGCUCUGGAAACUG
rnacentral:rRNA from 1 species